rnacentral:lncRNA from 1 species
CAGACCUCGUGACUUCCUACCGAAAAGAAACCGUGCGGUUCAAGGAUCCGAUAUUUAUCAAAGGUUUACAACGGAAUUGACACAAUAUUCGGACUGUACCAGUAGUACUUGGUUGUUGUCCUCCGUCUUCACACAAUUAUCGCCAUAGAAAUUAUCUAAUUUAAUGAAUUACUUGCUGAUAAAUUCCUCGAUAAGUUCAGCAGUGCAAUUCCAAACAACAGACCUCAUGACUUCCCACCGAAAAGAAACGUGCGGUUCAAGGAUCCGAUAUUUAUCAAAGGUUUACAACGGAAUUGACACAAUAUUCGGACUGUACCAGUAGUACUUGGUUGUUGUCCUCCGUCUUCACACAAUUAUCGCCAUAGAAAUUAUCUAAUUUUAUG